ACCAUGCCGUUUAAAGGCCUAGACACUUUAAAGUAAACAAGCACAUAGCGCAUUUGUGUCAGUGGAUAAUUAAUUGAUUUAAGUUCACAUCGGAACUUGUAAGACGUUUGUGGGACUUCUUCGGUGUGCGCAUGCGUUAGAUUCUUUUAGGGAUUGUGGUUUUGGCUGGUUGACUUAGCUGUCAACACUGUACAUAACUCGUUGUUUGUCAAAAUGCUCCGUCUGUUUGUCCUGAUAGGUUUUGUAAUAUUUGUUUCUUUAAAAUCCGCUGCUCAAAGUCUGUCUGAUACUCCAGAUUGCUUAGGUGGACAAAAUGGACAUGAACGCCAUAAUGAAAUGUGCCGGAACCUUUUAGGGGACUUACUGGAGUUAAUUUGCAGUACAUAUUCAUAUACUGAUACGAACGCGAAUCAUCCGUAUGGUUUACGUCAACGUCAUUCACGACAUCCACGCAACCGUCAUCACCAAGGACGUCACAUAAUAAGAAGAACCGAGGCACGUGACUCAACUCGACCACGUGCCGACAACGAGGUGUACUGCAGAUGUUGUGUUAACCAGUGUACACUCGAGUACUUGGAAAGCCGGUGCUGACUGUGGAAAUGUGAUGUACGACGUCCAGGCAAAUGUUGCUUCUAUAUGCUGCUGCUUUGUUGCUAUAAAUUACUUGGACCCCAUUGCGCAAAAAUAGUGCCAACUAUGUUUAAAUUGUUGUAUUUUAUUAUCAAAUGUAUUGGCAGCACGAGAACAUUGUUGCUAAUAGAUGUAGUGACAAACCUUAAUAAAAAAUAAAAGCAUU